rnacentral:tRNA from 1 species
GUUAAUGUAGCUUAAUUUAUAAAGCAAGGCACUGAAAAUGCCUAGAUGGACUUUUAAAGCCCCGUAAAUA